rnacentral:rRNA from 1 species
CAGUAGCCACGGUAAAACAGAGGGUGCGAGCGUUAAUCGGAUUUACUGGGCGUAAAGCGUGCGUAGGCGGCUUCUUAAGUCGGAUGUGAAAUCCCUGAGCUUAACUUAGGAAUUGCAUUCGAUACUGGGAAGCUAGAGUAUGGGAGAGGAUGGUAGAAUUCCAGGUGUAGCGGUGAAAUGCGUAGAGAUCUGGAGGAAUACCGAUGGCGAAGGCAGCCAUCUGGCCUAAUACUGACGCUGAGGUACGAAAGCAUGGGGAGCAAACAGGAUUAGAUACCCCCGUAGUCCCUGUCUUUAUACA